GAUGUCUCUGUGGUGGGCUCCUCCGGUGUCUUCCGCCGGUUCAGCUUCUGGCAGAAGCGUGCCAGGCUGGCGGUGCUGGGCAGCCCCCAGGCCAUGGUGGGCAGCUGAGAGGAGCACCAAGUCAGCUGCUGGCACCUACGAGGGUUAACAUACAUGGUGUCAGAAAGUGGGACCUGAAAUGAUCUCAUCUUUGUGGACCACCCUCCCCUGGAACCAGAACAAUGAUUGCUCAGUGACUUGAGAUCAUCAACCAGUCUUCAAACUCCAAAGGACUUGAUAUUUUUCCAGAUAGAGACAGUGCCUAAGACUCAUUUCUUGAUCACCUCCUUAUUGUUCAGAUGCCACCAGAGCCUCUGACUGCAUUUCUCCUAUGGAAGAUUGAGCACGUGGCUUCCCCCCGAGAAGGGACAUGACUUUCCAGAAAAUAACAUUUCUAGGAAUGAGGGAAAUAUUAAUAUAUGGAACAGUUGAUCCGAGACGGUUUCUGCUGCAAGAUCUUGAUGAGAAGGGGAAAUGUGGACAGUGAGAACAAAAUGGAGUAACAUACGCUAAGGAUUCUAAAAUGGAGCUGGGAGGCCAUUAAGGAAAUGGGGCUCAUGCAGGCACACCACGUCUCUACCAGAGGGAAUGUUAACUUUUGAGCUGUGCUUCUCUGUUGUCAUCUUGACCUUCUUUCAUGAAAUAUGCUCACUCUCAAAGAUAAGAACUUCCUGCCUUAGAGACGGCUUUAGCAACUGAUCACAUAUAGCCAAGACGUAACAGUUGUUGCCAGCACCAAUCACAAAUUUAGCAAAACGACCUGUGUAAUUUUUCUCUUCUUGCCUUUAUAAACCCUUACAUCCUUGUUUUCCUCAGAACACAGUUUGAUUUUCUGCCUGAAUCUGU
rnacentral:lncRNA from 1 species